rnacentral:rRNA from 1 species
UACGUAGGGUGCGAGCGUUACUCGGAAUUACUGGGCGUAAAGCGUGCGCAGGCGGUUUUGUAAGCCAGAUGUGAAAGCCCCGGGCUCAACCUGGGAAUGGCAUUUGGGACUGCAAGGCUUGAGUGCGGCAGAGGAGACUGGAAUUCCUGGUGUAGCAGUGAAAUGCGUAGAUAUCUGGAGGAACACCGAUGGCGAAGGCAGCCUCCUGGGCUAGUACUGACGCUCAUGCACGAAAGCGUGGGGAGCAAACAGG